rnacentral:rRNA from 1 species
CCUACGGGUGGCAGCAGUGAGGAAUAUUGGUCAAUGGACGAGAGUCUGAACCAGCCAAGUAGCGUGAAGGAUGACUGCCCUAUGGGUUGUAAACUUCUUUUAUAUGGGAAUAAAAUGUUCCACGUGUGGGAUUUUGUAUGUACCAUACGAAUAAGGAUCGGCUAACUCCGUGCCAGCAGCCGCGGUAAUACGGAGGAUCCGAGCGUUAUCCGGAUUUGUUGGGUGUAAAGGGUGCGUAGGUGGAUUGUUAAGUCCGUUGUGAAAGUUUGGGGCUCAACCGUAAAAUUGCAGUUGAAACUGGCAGACUUGAGUACAGUAGAGGUGGGCGGAAUUCGUGGUGUAGCGGUGAAAUGCUUAGAUAUCGCGAAGAACUCCGAUUGCGAAGGCAGCUCACUGGACUGUAACUGACACUGAGGCACGAAAGUGUGGGUAGCGAACAGGAUUAGAUACCCGUGUAGUC